AACUAAGCAACUUCAUCUUUUUAUAUGUUAUGCACUCAAUUUUAAGCUUUGAAUGAAACGGGCAUGAGUUCUAGUAUUUGGAACUAAAAUGAUGAAAACGCAUUCUAAGUAGCAACCAAGCAAAGAAAUAAUGAGAUCAUGCAACGACUUUAGAGAACAAGAAAUCACAGAUUAAUAACUCUCCACAUAAAGUAUAGGCUCAAGUCUCUCAGGGUUGUAGCGUUAGUUUGAGUUCCUUCCUUCAAGCAUGUUACAAAAACUAAUUUUUUUUUCUUUUGUGAUUACAUGUGAAUUCAUUAAUGACAACUACAACCAAGUAUUAACCAAAGAACAUAUUUGUAACUUCCACCCAUGUUUAUAACUUUCUUUAACAGUCAUGCAAUUAAAAACCAAAUCAUCAUCAUUGUGUUGGAAGGUACCCUAAGACAUAAACAAACACACAAAAACGACUCUUUUUGGGUUUUUCAAAACAUUUUCUAAUUUUUUUUUUCAAAUUUUC
rnacentral:lncRNA from 1 species